UCGACGCCUAACUUGCCUUAGUGUUUUCUCUUACAAGUGUUUCUCCGCCUGCCUGUUUCCAUGACUGGUCGAUCUGGAGUCGACCAUAAGUCUCUCUGAAACUUAGAGAGGGGAGUCGGGAUUUGGCCCGACGUCCGACAGGACGUUAAGAGGUGGCUUUGCUUGAAGCUGGCUAGCCUCGCGUAAGUCCUUAAAGAAGGAGCCUUGUGUAAACUGGCUACCCUUCGCGUAUUCUGUUGUAAAUAGUAACUUCUGUAUUAUUCGGUAUGAAUGUUUGUUGUAAGCUUUGUGCCCGAGCUUGUGCCAAUAAAGAAACUGUAACAGUGUC